UGGCUCAGUUGGUAGAGCAUGGUGUUUGCAACGCUAGGUGUGUGGGUUCGAUUCCCAC
rnacentral:tRNA from 1 species